ACCACAUCAAUAUCAUUAACCCACAAUUUCUCUUUUAUGUGCUACAUGUGGUUUUGAUUAUGCACUCCUUGAAUACCAAUUACUAUUGGACUAGCCUUAUAACCCAUGCAAAUUACCGUUGCCAUUUGUAAACUCUCAAAAAUAAUUAAGUGAAGGACGAGAGUGCAAUUAUUUCUAUAAAAUAUGAGCGCCACCGUGCUCUGAAAAGAUAUAAGUGAAGUACUAGAGCAACUGCUUAGCUCAAAAGAUAUAAGUGAAGCACAUAUAGUAUUCUAUCAAAUCAUUGUGACAUGUGUCUCUCUAGAGUGGUUGUGUCCAGCAAAGAAUGAUUGUGGAAACCUAAAAAUAAAAACAACCUAAGAUACAUGACGCUCCAAGCAAAACUCAUGUCAUGUGAGGAAUAAAAAAUAUAGCUCCAAGUGACAUAUCGGUGGAUUGAGACGAAAGAGGAGAUGCUUUCCGUGGCAUCCCCAAGCUUAGACGCUUGACUCUUCCUAGAAUUUGACUUGGGGUGCCUUGGGAAUCCCCAAGCUUAGGCUCUUGCCACUCCUUAUUCCUUCAUCCAUCGUGAUAACACCCAAAAUUUGAAAACUUCAGCACACAAAAUUCAACAGAAAACUUGUGACAUCCGUUAGUAGGAUAGGCGAACCAUAAACAUUAGUUACGGUUAUAAAUUAAUCAAUAUUUUAUUAUUGCAUAAGGUAAUGUAUUGUGACUUCUCCAUGACUUAUACCCCCCCUACAUAAUCCAUAUCAUCAUCAAAACAAGCAAACUAUGCAAGCAAAAACAGAAUAUGUCUAAAAAACAAUCU
rnacentral:lncRNA from 1 species